GCUCACAAACAUAUAUGUUUAUGUAUCUUAGAAUUUAAAAACUUAGUCAAGUAAUCAAUGUGGCUAAGAGCUGUGGAGUUUUAGGGAGAAAAAAAAUACACAAAUAAAAUAAAAUAAAACAAUAAAUAAAGGAGAAAAAUACAUAAAUAAAAUAAAUUUAAAAAUAAAAUUAAAAUAGGGAGGGGUAACAAGAUGGCGACUGAGACGGUAGAGCUUCAUAAGCUGAAGCUUGCUGAACUAAAGCAGGAGUGUCUUGCUCGUGGUUUGGAGACCAAGGGAAUAAAACAAGAUCUCAUCAACAGGCUCCAGGCAUAUCUUGAAGAGCAUGCUGAAGAGGAGGCAAAUGAAGAAGAUGUAAUGGGAGAUGAAACAGAGGAGAAGAACCAAAGCCCUUAGAACUGCCUGUCAAAGAGGAAGAGCCUCCUGAAAAAACUGUUGAUGUGGAGCAGAGAAAAAAGUGGUAAAAAUUACAUCUGAAAUACCACAGACUGAGAGGAUGCAGAAGAGAGCUGAAUGAUUCAAUGUACCUGUGAGUUUGGAGAGUAAGAAAGCUGCCCGGGCAGCUCGAUUUGGGAUUUCUCCAGUUCCAUCAAAAGGUCUGUCGUCUGACACCAAGCCUAUGGUUAACCUGGAUAAGCUAAAAGAAAGAGCUCAAAGGUUUGCUUUGAAUGUCUCUUCAAUCUCCAGAAAGUCGGAGGAUGAGGAAAAGCUGAAAAAGAGGAAGGAGCGAUUUGGGAUUGUCACAAAUUCAGCUGGAACAGGAACCACAGAGGAUACAGAGGCAAAGAAGAGGAAAAGAGCAGAGUGCUUUGGAAUUGCCUGAUGAAAAGCUUUUCAUGCUUUCUGUUCUCCAGGGGUUUCCACCUCUUUAACUCUUCCUGGUCACCUACAUACCUACAUGCACAGUUAUGUGCCUAGGUCCUGCCUUGCAAUGAGGGAGCAUGUACCCCAGGUACAUCUGUGAACUCCGGCAGCAGUUUGACUUAUUGCAGUUCCAACUUUAAGGUUUUUGUUGUUGUGUUGUUGUUUUUUAAUUAUUAUUUUGCUUGUUAAUUUAAAAAA